CACAUGCAAGUCGAACGGUAACAGGUCUUCGGAUGCUGACGAGUGGCGAACGGGUGAGUAAUACAUCGGAACGUGCCCGAUCGUGGGGGAUAACGCAGCGAAAGCUGUGCUAAUACCGCAUACGAUCUACGGAUGAAAGCGGGGGAUCGCAAGACCUCGCGCGGACGGAGCGGCCGAUGGCAGAUUAGSUAGUUGGUGGGAUAAAAGCUUACCAAGCCGACGAUCUGUAGCUGGUCUGAGAGGACGACCAGCCACACUGGGACUGAGACACGGCCCAGACUCCUACGGGAGGCAGCAGUGGGGAAUUUUGGACAAUGGGGGAAACCCUGAUCCAGCCAUGCCGCGUGCAGGAUGAAGGCCUUCGGGUUGUAAACUGCUUUUGUACGGAACGAAAAGGU
rnacentral:rRNA from 1 species